AUGGAAGGGUGUCUUCCCGGAAAACGCACCCGGAAGCAGAUGAAGUGGCUCACGGCAGAUGGGAUUUCACACUUUCCUUUUUAACCGCUAACUGUAGAGUCAGCAUGAUGAUGUGAAAGUCUCCUGUACAUGUAUGGGACGGAGGAAGGACUGUGUGAUCCUCGAGUAAUGCUUCUUUAACAGAGUCUGAUCUACAGCUGAGCCUCCGUCCUCCUGCUUAGCCAUGCCGUUGGUGGUGGAUGCUGUGUGGGCGCUGUGGAGCAUCGCAGCCGGCGUCUACGACUACUUCCACACCAGUGCCAUGGAGGAGAGGAUCCACACACUGGAGAAUGUCCUCUCCAUCCACCAGUUUGUGAUUGCAGGCCUGUCAGCAGGCCUCAUUCUGCUCAUGACCUACAUACUGUUGAGAAAACACUAAAACCGUCCUCACCUGAAGGACAAGCACCCACUAGAGGUUCUUUGCCUGAAGGAUGACAUGUUUGGUGACAGUCAAGAUGUCCCAGAUGAAGUCGGGAGGACUGAUGGGCUUCUAAGUCUGACCAACAAAGCUCCACCAGGACAUGCUUUCUGAAACCUGGUGCACUUUGGGUAGUGGCUGCUUAGUUGGUUUGUCUGUUUGCUGCUUUGUUUAAAUGUUAAAUUGUCCUGCUAAAAGAAACAUAACAGCUUCUCAAGGCGAAUUUGCACUCUGUUUUCCUAAACAUGAAGGACUUCGCUGUUUAGGAAAAACGCCUGAGAUGGCGUCAUGACCUCAAACACCUCCUCAGAGCGUAAUGAAGGAGUUAAAAUGAAGUUAUUGUCGGUUUUAUGAUUGAUUUUCUGAAAAGGGAAGAAGCCCAGAAUGACUGUGAUCACUGCUACAUUUUUAACACCGUUGUUGAAAAAUCACACCAUAAUUAACUCGAUCGGUUCUUCUUUUGUGCUUCCAAAUGAAUCAUGUUAUUUGUUAAGACAAAUAAUCUGAGAUGCAUCCAAACUGCCUGUUAAUCUUUACAUCUUCUAGCUCCAUCUUCAUGACUUAUAAAUGGUGGCAAUGUCUGAAUGAGACACAUGAUGUUGCGGACUAAUUAGGGGGUCCUUCUCAUACCUGAUUUGUCUGAUUUCUCAGCCUGAUCCGAGCCAGAAUUACACGUGUGAGACCUCAGGUGCACCAUGCAGUUUAGGAGAUGGUGUCAGUGGUUUGUUCAGUGUCUCAUGUCAGAAUACUUUUUUGUAGAUAAUUUGACUGUUACAGGGAGUCUAUGGUCAAAAUCAGCCGCGGAAGGCACACAGGAAGAGAAGGAAACUAAGUCUUUUGCUAUAUAGUCACCAGUGAAGGGAUUACCCAUCGCUAAUAAUGUUGUGACAGUAAAGUGGACUUAUUCUGCUUAUGCAAAGUUACUCUAAUUGAAUAGCUUUGCAUGAUUCACAGCUCAACAUACGCUCUGAUCCAACCCUGAAGUUCAUCUUCUGUCUGAAAUGAGAUGUUUUAGCCCCUCCCCUUUUAACCCAACUUUCUUUUCAGUCUCAGUCACACAAACCGGCCACCAACCACCUGGCAACCUCCAGACGUUGGGGAAAAAUGUAUAUUUCCUGAAUUCAUUGGGUUACCUCAGGUUGAUGGCUGUUGUCAGUUGAAAUCAGUUGCAAAGAAACCCUGUCGAGAUUGGUCACUAGCUGCAGACGAGGAAGACUAAAAGCACAACUUUUAGUUUGGAGGCAACGGCCUCUGUUACUGGUUUCUGUUUCAUUAUUUCACUAACCAAAGUAAAUGUGGACAGAGGAACAGUAACGUCAGCCUGGGUUUUGACUUUCAUUGACUUUAUGCCAUUUUUAAUUUUUAAAUUGAUUCAGUGGGACAGAAAUGCCAAAAAUAUGAUGUCUGGGUCUGCUAAGCUUGAUGGGAAUGUGGUUGUACUAGAAUCUACCCCAUCUCUGAGACUGGUUCCAACAUGCACAGUCACUUCACGGUAUUUGCUGUAAAAGAUUAUAAUCGGAGAUUUUAAAAAAUGCUCGUGGCAACUGUGGUUUGUAAUUACCCUGAUUCCACUAACACACCUGGACUUAGAGGAUAAACUCAAAAAACGCUUCAGACGCUGGGAAAUGAAUUCAUCCUGUAUGUGGUUUAUUUAUUUUUCACACCAAAGGGAAAUGAUUGGUGUAGGAUGGAGGUUAAAGUGUGUAUUUAAUGUGGAAAAGGGAGAUUGUGUGUUUAAUCUGUUUGUUUACAUUUUUACUAAUGUGUUCUAGUCUGUCUGUGUGUGUGUGUGUGUGUGUGUGUGUGUGUGUGUGUGUGUGUGUGUGUGUGAUGAUUUAACCGAUUAUUGGUGGCUCGCUCACUGCUGUACCUGCUCACACUCUGGGCUUCAUUGUCAGUGUACUGUAUACACUACUGUGUGUUCUACCCAGCCGAACCUCUGCCGCGUCUGCUAUUAAAAGGGAAUAUGUUUGAAUACUGAUCAGAAUUUAAGUCCAGACUUUGUUGUGUUUUAUUCAUAAUUUGUGUUUUCUGAUUGACGUUUUUUGUCUCUCUUCCUCUUUUCUUUUGUCCUCUCACCUCCCUGCUCCUUCAGCCUGGCUCUGUAAGAGUUCUUUUCCUGUUGAAAGGGAGCUCUUCCUCCCUGCCAUUGCCAAUUGUUUUGAGAUAGGGGAUCAUCUCAUGGUUGGGAUUCUUUUUCUAAUAUUGUAAAGGAUUUUUCCUGCUUUGGUAGUAUGGGGUAUUAGCCCUGUUGUCACGUGUUCUUCCGUCCUUGUACAACCACAGUGGAAGCACAGUUCACAUUUCCAGCGAUAAGUCAAAUUAGGCCAGUGCGACUGGAACUUUUAUGGAAAAACAUUUGUAGGCAAAGUCAAGGAGAUGAUGUUGGAGAUCGCAUCUUUGCUUUUUUGUGGAUGGCGUGGUCAACAAACGCUCCCUAUACUGCCAAAGGUAUUCACUCACGCAUCCAAAUGAUUGAAUUCAGGUGUUCCAAUCACUUCCAUGACCACAGGUGUAUGAGAUGAAGCACCUACGCAUGCAGACUGUUUCUACAAACAUUUGUGAAAUAAUGGGUCAGUCUCAGGAGCUCGUGAA